rnacentral:snRNA from 1 species
GCCUUCGGGCACUAGUCAAUUGAAACGAUACAGAGAAGAUUAGCAUGGCCCCUGCACUAAGGAUGACACGCUCAAUCAAAGAGAAGCAACCAUUUUUU